GCCGCGUCGGCAUCCAGGGCAGGGAGCCGCCGGCCCCGGCUCCGGACGGGGAGGCGCUGGCCCGGCCCGGCCCGGCCCGGCUCCGCUCGGGAAUGCCCCGGCAGGAAGGUGCCAGGGGUACCCGCAGCUCCGGGACUGUCGGGAACUCGCAGCUUGGCUCCCGCCCAUCGCGCUCGUCCCGCAGGGAAAAUCCCCGGCUCCGGAUCGGUAGCAGGGGUGAAACCUCCCAGAACGGGUCCCAAGGGCGCUGUGAAGGCUCUCGGUGCUGCAGCUUUUCUAUUCCAUUGGCAGAGAUUAUUUUACCUAGCCUUCAGGCGCGAUCAGAACUAAUGAACUCCCCGAGUUAAAGCUGCCCACGAUGCCCGUGCAGCCCUUGUCUGAGCAAGGGAAUCUUCUGAUUUCCCACUCUGAUCCAUGGGAAUUUAACACCCCUUCCCACUGGCACUGGAGAAUCCACAAAGCCGGCUCGCUUCCCUUUUGCUCCCUUGGUGCUUCAGGAUUACCAGGAAAAAGAAAUAAAGGCCCUUUAAAAAAUUGCACCAAAGAGGACUUGGCUGUUGGAGAGUUCCAGGGUUUCUCCUGCAAGGCAGUUUCUCUGAUUAGUUUUUCUCUGUCUUUAGAACAGAGAGUUGUGUUUAAGAGUAUUCCUCGUGGAGAAACAAACUGCGCUUUAGGAAACCUGGGAUCCAGAGGGGAAUGGAGACUCCCUUGGAUGUUUUGUCGAGAGCAGCAUCUCUGGUCCAUGCUGAUGAUGAGAAACUUCUCAGGGUGGAAAUUAAAGCGUUUUGCUGCUUCUGCCCUUGUGUGUACCAUGAAGAUUCCUUACCCCAGACGGGCAGGGAUGAGCUCUGCUCCAAGCCGAAGAGGGCAGAGGGAAAAUCAGGAUUCCAUCAGCUUUUUUUUUUAAUUUUUCUUUUCGGAUCAGCCCGAGCCUUCAGGCGCAGCACCGCUCUCCAUCCUCUCUGCCAUCCCAGCCCGAGCCUUGGCAGCUGCUGAAGAGCCAGAGCCCGGAAUGUUUAACCACUAAUAGCCCUUGAAAAAUCCGAACUGGCUGUGCCCCGAUGGAAUUGCAGCAAUGUGUGCGAUGCCUAUUUAUAUGCAGAGAGAGAAACCUUUGAAAACUAUUUAUAUAUAAACUAUAUACACAGGGAAAUGGCCACUGCCUCACGCCUUUUAUUUUAAUUGUCUCUCUCAUUCCUGUGAUUCCAUUCACCAUUCCUGUCAUGCCAGGCCGUGCCUCCAUGGCUGCUGUUGCUGUAGAACCGCAUUACCCCUCGCUGUAAGGCGCUGAGGCCGUGCUGGGGAGCGAAGAGAGGCAGAGGGAGUUUUUAGCAGCGGGGUCAGCCGCCGUGCUGCCGCCCGUGCCCGCAGGAGGCCCCUCAGCGCCGCUUCCUCCCCUCGCCUCCUCCUCCUCCCGCCGCCGUUUCCUGUGCGAGCG
rnacentral:lncRNA from 1 species